rnacentral:rRNA from 1 species
UACGUAGGUGGCAAGCGUUGUCCGGAAUUAUUGGGCAUAAAGGGUGCGUAGGUGGCCAACUAAGCCAGACGUGAAAUCCCUCGGCUUAACCGGGGAACUGCGUCUGAUACUGGAUGGCUUGAGUUUGGGAGAGGGACGCGGAAUUCCAGGUGUAGCGGUGAAAUGCGUAGAUAUCUGGAGGAACACCGGUGGCGAAGGCGGCAUCCUGGACCAAUAUUGACGCUGAGGAGCGAAAGCCAGGUGAGCAAACGGG